AUUUUCGUGUCUGUUUGUCUUUUUAUUUUUAGCCAUGGCGUUGAAUUGAACGCCAUGGCUAAAAAUAAAAAGAUAAACAGAAACGAAAAU
rnacentral:sRNA from 1 species